AAUUUGCAAAAUCUAUAUUUGUUUGUUUAAAAUAGUCAAAUGAUAAUUGGUAUUUAGGUUUAUAAAUGUGUAGUAUCGACAUUCCAUUUGUUUUUUAUAUGUAUAGUAUUUUUCAGUUGCAUUUAAUGUGUGUCUCCUGAAUUUAUGAUGCAGGUGGGUUAUGGAUAUUCCCGUAUUUACUAUGGUCGGUGAGUGGAAAUGCAAAGAAGGAGAAUGGAAAUUUGAACUUGAGGAAGGCAUCUUUGGUCGUUGUGUACGCGUUCAGGAAACCAUGACGUACACGGACUUUGUCCAUACACUCCGAGAGGCUUUCAGUUUGAAGUCCACCGAGAUCAAUCCCAUAAUUAGCUAUUGGAUGCCGGGAGAAAUGUCAGUGCUGAUAGAUACUAAACGCCCUCAUGUAUACAUUGACAGUCAGAUGGGUCUCGAAACGUUUUUUUUGGUUCGUGGUGGGUAUCUUUCUCUCAACUUGUUCGUCUCUUUCAAUAAUACAGUGAAGGCGUUCGGGAAUACUGUCUCUAGGUCUCAUGGUGAAGUUUCUGAAAGUGACCGUGUGUUUGAUAGUGCUACAAAUGUUGAUGAAAAUAAUGAGGAUGCAGAGGAACAAGCCGAUGUUGAAGACGAUACAACAGAAGAGGAUGAAGUGGAGGAGGGCAACGAAGAUGAUGAUGGGUGUGAUGAUUAUCUUGGUGUGGAUGGAUCUAUUGGGGGAAGUACCACGUAUCCUACCACAGACGGUAGUGAAGGUAUUGGCGAAGAAUACGAUUACAACAAGUGGAACGAUGUAAUAGUAGAAGAAUAUGUACAAGGAAAUCUUGAGGAAGACAUCAGUCUCACUCAACAGACUGCUCAACAUCCAGGGGAAUUCAGUCGUUUAUUGGAAACGUGUACGUACACGAGUGUUAGUGUACCUGGCGGAGAUACAGGGGAAUUCAGUCGUCUCUUGGAAACGUGUACGUACACUGGUCUUAGUGUACCUGGCGAAGAAACAAUUUCUCCAUUGGGUUACGGUACACGCUGCGAAGGGCAAAGGGAUUCCAAUCUUAUUUGUAUAAACGAACUCACCGGGGAUGAAGUGAUCGACGGUAUUGGAGCUUCCUCAACUGGGACACAGAAUGAUAAUGGGGUAGUUACCGCAGCUGAGUCUUACCAAGUGUAUAAUGAAUUUCCUAAGUUACAUGGUGGCGAGUUGGCGAAUCUCGGUAACGAUGCUGCUCCUGUGUUCGAUGACUUACUCAAUUUUCGAGCUGAUGAGACACAGGUUGAAAUCAGCACCACAGGCGAAACUUUGUUUGUU
rnacentral:sRNA from 1 species